rnacentral:tRNA from 1 species
CAGGAGUUAGUUUUAUUUAAAAUAUUGGUUUUGGAGAUCAAAGAUAGAAAUAUUUUCUCUUCCUGA